rnacentral:rRNA from 1 species
GACGAACCUUGCAAACGUUAUUCGGAAUCACUGGGCUUAAAGGGUGCGUAGGCUGUGCAGAAAGUUGGGUGUGAAAUACCUCGGCUUAACCGAGGAGUUGCGCCCAAAACUACUGUGCUCGAGGAAGAUAGAGGUGAGCGGAACUUAGGGUGGAGCGGUGAAAUGCGUUGAUAUCCUAAGGAACACCGGUGGCGAAAGCGGCUCACUGGACCAUAACUGACGCUGAGGCGCGAAAGCUAGGGGAGCAAACAGG